GUUAACUGUGAUGAGUCUUUAACAGACCUGUAAUGAAUUGCGGGUAUGAUCGCAUUUUUAUUGAACAUCUAAGGGACUGAGUUAACUAGUUAUUCUUCCACUUUUCUUAAUUUGAUGCUUAUAUAGUUAUUUUGUUGUUUAUAAUUUGAUUUGAAGUGUUUUUACUUUGGUAGAUAAUGAUGAAGCAAAAUAUAUAAUCCAACACUUGAUCUGAUAUAGUGAUGCCAAAUAUAUCUAUUACGUUUCUGAAUCUACAUUUUGGGCUAUAAUGGCAAUGUUUUGCUUUUAGAUUAAUUUUCAUCAAAUGUUGUGUUAAUUUAUAAUUUGUAAAUAUUUGAGGAGUUUGAAUUUGCACUAUCAUGUGAUGAGUUUGGAAUAAAUCUUAGGACACCUUCCUACACAACAUAUGUUGUGGAUGAGAUGAACUUUCCAUUCUGAUGAUGUGCAUAAUUCAUACUUGUCUUUAAUUUCUUAUUUUCUAACAUCAUGUUAAAUUUUGAUUAGCCCUAUGUAACUUUUUUAUUUGGCCUUCAUAAUCCCAGUUAAGAUUGAAUAUUGAAGUUCUUAAACUGAUUCAUGGGAGGCCAAAAUUAAGUGUUGGAAGUUUCGCUGAUAAAUGCCAUAUUUGAUUAUUACAUCAAGGUGUUUACUAGUAACUAUGCCGCAUAUUC
rnacentral:lncRNA from 1 species